CCUACGGGAGGCAGCAGUGGGGAAUUUUGGACAAUGGGCGCAAGCCUGAUCCAGCAAUGCCGCGUGAGUGAAGAAGGCCUUCGGGUUGUAAAGCUCUUUUGUCAGGGAAGAAACGGUCUACUCUAAUACAGUGGGCUAAUGACGGUACCUGAAGAAUAAGCACCGGCUAACUACGUGCCAGCAGCCGCGGUAAUACGUAGGGUGCAAGCGUUAAUCGGAAUUACUGGGCGUAAAGCGUGCGCAGGCGGUUAUAUAAGUCAGAUGUGAAAUCCCCGGGCUCAACCUGGGAACUGCAUUUGAGACUGUAUGGCUAGAGUGUGUCAGAGGGGGGUAGAAUUCCACGUGUAGCAGUGAAAUGCGUAGAUAUGUGGAGGAAUACCGAUGGCGAAGGCAGCCCCCUGGGAUAACACUGACGCUCAUGCACGAAAGCGUGGGGAGCAAACAGGAUUAGAUACCCUGGUAGUCCACGCCCUAAACGAUGUCUACUAGUUGUCGGGACUUAAUUGUCUUGGUAACGCGAGCUACGACGUGAGUAGACCGCCGUCGGGAGGUACGGUCGCGAGAGUAAACGUAACGAAAGAAAGUAGACGGCGUGAGACGUAGACCGACGGACGACGACGAGGGGAGGAGG
rnacentral:rRNA from 1 species